CCCUUAGAGUUUGAUCCUGGCUCAGAUUGAACGCUGGCGGCAGGCCUAACACAUGCAAGUCGAGCGGUAACAGAUUGAUAGCUUGCUAUCAAUGCUGACGAGCGGCGGACGGGUGAGUAAUGCCUGGGAAUAUGCCCUGAUGUGGGGGAUAACUAUUGGAAACGAUAGCUAAUACCGCAUAAUCUCUUCGGAGCAAAGAGGGGGACCUUCGGGCCUCUCGCGUCAGGAUUAGCCCAGGUGGGAUUAGCUUGUUGGUGGGGUAAUGGCUCACCAAGGCAACGAUCCCUAGCUGGUCUGAGAGGAUGAUCAGCCACACUGGAACUGAGACACGGUCCAGACUCCUACGGGAGGCAGCAGUGGGGAAUAUUGCACAAUGGGGGAAACCCUGAUGCAGCCAUGCCGCGUGUAUGAAGAAGGCCUUCGGGUUGUAAAGUACUUUCAGUUGUGAGGAAGGCAGUAAAGUUAAUAGCUUUGCUGUUUGACGUUAGCAACAGAAGAAGCACCGGCUAACUCCGUGCCAGCAGCCGCGGUAAUACGGAGGGUGCGAGCGUUAAUCGGAAUUACUGGGCGUAAAGCGCAUGCAGGUGGUCUGUUAAGCAAGAUGUGAAAGCCCGGGGCUCAACCUCGGAACAGCAUUUUGAACUGGCAGACUAGAGUACUGUAGAGGGGGGGUAGAAUUUCAGGUGUAGCGGUGAAAUGCGUAGAGAUCUGAAGGAAUACCGGUGGCGAAGGCGGCCCCCUGGGACAGAUACUGA
rnacentral:rRNA from 1 species